rnacentral:rRNA from 1 species
GAUGAACGCUGGCGGCGUGCCUAAUACAUGCAAGUCGAGCGAAUGGAUUAAGAGCUUGCUCUUAUGAAGUUAGCGGCGGACGGGUGAGUAACACGCGGGUAACCUGCCCAUAAGACUGGGAUAACUCCGGGAAACCGGGGCUAAUACCGGAUAACAUUUUGAACCGCAUGGUUCGAAAUUGAAAGGCGGCUUCGGCUGUCACUUAUGGAUGGACCCGCGUCGCAUUAGCUAGUUGGUGAGGUAACGGCUCACCAAGGCAACGAUGCGUAGCCGGACUGAGAGGGUGAUCGGCCACACUGGGACUGGGACACGGCCCAGACUCCUACGGGAGGCAGCAGUAGGGAAUCUUCCGCAAUGGACGAAAGUCUGACGGAGCAACGCCGCGUGAGUGAUGAAGGCUUUCGGGUCGUAAAACUCUGUUGUUAGGGAAGAACAAGUGCUAGUUGAAUAAGCUGGCACCUUGACGGUACCUAACCAGAAAGCCACGGCUAACUACGUGCCAGCAGCCGCAGUAA